AAGUCGUAACAGGGUUUCCGUAGGUGAACCUGCGGAAGGAUCAUUAACACGGAGCCAACGUUACCGGGUUCCUGGGUCCUAGACCCCCUGAUCACCCCGACAGUCGCAGACGCGGGUAGGGAUACGUCCUUACCAAAAAAUAAAUACUUGAACAACUGUUAACUAUGGAUAUCUUGGUUCUC
rnacentral:misc_RNA from 1 species